GACGAACGCUGGCGGCGUGCCUAAUACAUGCAAGUUGAGCGCUGAAGGUUGGUACUUGUACCAACUGGAUGAGCAGCGAACGGGUGAGUAACGCGUGGGGAAUCUGCCUUUGAGCGGGGGACAACAUUUGGAAACGAAUGCUAAUACCGCAUAAAAACUUUAAACACAAGUUUUAAGUUUGGAAGAUGCAAUUGCAUCACUCAAAGAUGAUCCCGCGUUGUAUUAGCUAGUUGGUGAGGUAAAGGCUCACCAAGGCGAUGAUACAUAGCCGACCUGAGAGGGUGAUCGGCCACAUUGGGACUGAGACACGGCCCAAACUCCUACGGGAGGCAGCAGUAGGGAAUCUUCGGCAAUGGACGAAAGUCUGACCGAGCAACACCGCGUGAGUGAAGAAGGUUUUCGGAUCGUAAAACUCUGUUGGUAGAGAAGAACGUUGGUGAGAGUGGAAAGCUCAUCAAGUGACGGUAACUACCCAGAAAGGGACGGCUAACUACGUG
rnacentral:rRNA from 1 species